AUGCAAGUCGAGCGGACAGAUGGGAGCUUGCUCCCUGAUGUUAGCGGCGGACGGGUGAGUAACACGUGGGUAACCUGCCUGUAAGACUGGGAUAACUCCGGGAAACCGGGGCUAAUACCGGAUGGUUGUCUGAACCGCAUGGUUCAGACAUAAAAGGUGGCUUCGGCUACCACUUACAGAUGGACCCGCGGCGCAUUAGCUAGUUGGUGAGGUAACGGCUCACCAAGGCGACGAUGCGUAGCCGACCUGAGAGGGUGAUCGGCCACACUGGGACUGAGACACGGCCCAGACUCCUACGGGAGGCAGCAGUAGGGAAUCUUCCGCAAUGGACGAAAGUCUGACGGAGCAACGCCGCGUGAGUGAUGAAGGUUUUCGGAUCGUAAAGCUCUGUUGUUAGGGAAGAACAAGUGCCGUUCAAAUAGGGCGGCACCUUGACGGUACCUAACCAGAAAGCCACGGCUAACUACGUGCCAGCAGCCGCGGUAAUACGUAGGUGGCAAGCGUUGUCCGGAAUUAUUGGGCGUAAAGGGCUCGCAGGCGGUUUCUUAAGUCUGAUGUGAAAGCCCCCGGCUCAACCGGGGAGGGUCAUUGGAAACUGGGGAACUUGAGUGCAGAAGAGGAGAGUGGAAUUCCACGUGUAGCGGUGAAAUGCGUAGAGAUGUGGAGGAACACCAGUGGCGAAGGCGACUCUCUGGUCUGUAACUGACGCUGAGGAGCGAAAGCGUGGGGAGCGAACAGGAUUAGAUACCCUGGUAGUCCACGCCGUAAACGAUGAGUGCUAAGUGUUAGGGGGUUUCCGCCCCUUAGUGCUGCAGCUAACGCAUUAAGCACUCCGCCUGGGGAGUACGGUCGCAAGACUGAAACUCAAAGGAAUUGACGGGGGCCCGCACAAGCGGUGGAGCAUGUGGUUUAAUUCGAAGCAACGCGAAGAACCUUACCAGGUCUUGACAUCCUCUGACAAUCCUAGAGAUAGGACGUCCCCUUCGGGGGCAGAGUGACAGGUGGUGCAUGGUUGUCGUCAGCUCGUGUCGUGAGAUGUUGGGUUAAGUCCCGCAACGAGCGCAACCCUUGAUCUUAGUUGCCAGCAUUCAGUUGGGCACUCUAAGGUGACUGCCGGUGACAAACCGGAGGAAGGUGGGGAUGACGUCAAAUCAUCAUGCCCCUUAUGACCUGGGCUACACACGUGCUACAAUGGACAGAACAAAGGGCAGCGAAACCGCGAGGUUAAGCCAAUCCCACAAAUCUGUUCUCAGUUCGGAUCGCAGUCUGCAACUCGACUGCGUGAAGCUGGAAUCGCUAGUAAUCG
rnacentral:rRNA from 1 species